rnacentral:lncRNA from 1 species
CCAGCCCACUCACCCGCACUAGCUGGCCGCUGGGGCAGGCCAGGAGACACACUGUUCCUCUGUAGUGCUGGCUGCUGGGGGGACAGGAGCCGCGGGUCCGUGAGGGAUGAUGUCACCAGGGAAGGGGUGACCAGGGAGCCGCUGGGAUUGCUGAACUGCAGUGAGCUCUGAUUGGACACGGGCACCGUGACAGGCAUGGCAAAGUUGGGGGCCGGGACAGUUGACCCAUAGCGCCGGAAGAGCCCGUCGAGCUCCUCGCUGGCGCGUCGGUACUUGUCCUCCAGCAGGGGGCUCUGUUCCAGCGAGUCCUCCCCGUCGGGCUCGGGGCUGUCGCAGCCGUUGAAGCCCUUCUUCCUCAGGGUCUCGAUGAUGUCGGCG